rnacentral:pre_miRNA from 1 species
CGCUGGCGCUACACCCGGGAUUCGAAGCAGUCAUUGGGCCUCUGCUACGAUUCUCCGGGUUUAGCAGUUGCG